AGAGUUUGAUCCUGGCUCAGAACGAACGCUGGCGGCGUGCCUAACACAUGCAAGUCGUACGAGAAAAUCCGCUUCGGCGGGUGAGUAGAGUGGCGCACGGGUGAGUAACGCGUGGAUAAUCUGCCUUUAAGCUGGGAAUAACUCACCGAAAGGUGGGCUAAUACCCGAUAAUGCUAUGGGACUUCGGUUUUAUAGCCAAAGAGAGCCUCUACAUGUAAGCCUUCACUUAAAGAUGAGUCCGCGUACCAUUAGCUAGUUGGUAGGGUAAUGGCCUACCAAGGCGACGAUGGUUAGCUGGUCUGAGAGGAUGAUCAGCCACACUGGAACUGAGACACGGUCCAGACUCCUACGGGAGGCAGCAGUGAGGAAUAUUGCGCAAUGGGGGCAACCCUGACGCAGCAACGCCGCGUGAGUGAGGAAGGUCUUCGGAUCGUAAAGCUCUGUCGGGUGGGAAGAAGUGUGCAUAGGUUAAUAGCUUGUGCACUUGACGGUACCGCCAAAGGAAGCACCGGCUAACUCCGUGCCAGCAGCCGCGGUAAUACGGGGGGUGCGAGCGUUGUUCGGAAUCAUUGGGCGUAAAGAGCGUGUAGGCGGCUAGGCAAGUCAGAUGUGAAAUCCCUGGGCUUAACCCAGGAAGUGCAUUUGAAACUGCUUAGCUUGAGUAAGGAAGAGGGAAGUGGAAUUCCUGGUGUAGAGGUGAAAUUCGUAGAUAUCAGGAGGAACACCGGUGGCGAAGGCGACUUCCUGGUCCUAUACUGACGCUGAGACGCGAGAGCGUGGGGAGCAAACAGGAUUAGAUACCCUGGUAGUCCACGCCGUAAACGAUGU
rnacentral:rRNA from 1 species